rnacentral:rRNA from 1 species
UGAGUCGUUGCAGCAAUGCAAGGCAGACGGCUCAGUAACACGUAGUCAACCUAACCUAUGGACGGGGAUAACCUCGGGAAACUGAGAAUAAUACCCGAUAGAUCAUGAUACCUGGAACGGUUUAUGGUUCAAAUGAUUUAUCGCCAUAGGAUGGGACUGCGGUCUAUCAGCUUGUUGGUGAGGUAAUGGCCCACCAAGGCUAUAACAGAUACGGGCUCUGAGAGGAGGGGCCCGGAGAUGGGUACUGAGACACGGACCCAGGUCCUAUGGGGCGCAGCAGGCGAGAAACCUUUGCAAUGUGCGAAAGCACGACAAGGUUAAUCCGAGUGAUUCCUGCUAAAGGAAUCUUUUGUUAGUCAUAAAACCACUGAUGAAUAAGGGGUGGGCAAGUUCUGGUGUCAGCCGCCGCGGUAAUACCAGCACCUCGAGUGGUCAGGAGGUUUAUUGGGCCUAAAGCAUCCGUAGCCGGCUGCUCAAGUUUCCGGUUAAAUCCACACGCUUAACGUAUGGGCUGCCGGAAAUACUGUUCAGCUAGGGAGUGGGAGAGGUAGACGGUACUCGAUAGGAAGGGGUAAAAUCCUUUGAUCUAUUGAUGACCACCUGUGGCGAAGGCGGUCUACCAGAACACGUUCGACGGUGAGGGAUGAAAGCUGGGGGAGCAAACCGGAUUAGAUACCCGGGUAGUCCCAGCUGUAAACGAUGCAGACUCGGUGAUGCAUUGGCUUAUGGCCAGUGCAG